GACAAAUUUGAUUCUCAUGGAUUUAUCUAAUAAUCAGCUUCAAGGCAUGAUCCCUUGGAGUCUUGGGAAUUGCAAAAAGUUUACAGGAUUAGUUCUUUCAAAUAACAAUCUUAGUGGUCCCAUACCUCCACAAAUUUUUGGAUCCUCCCCCUUAUCACUGGGUCUUUUCUUAUCCGGAAAUCACUUGUCAGGCUCCAUUCCCAUAGAAGUAGGAAAUUCGAAAACUAUGGGAUACCUAAACCUUUCCGAGAACAUGUUAUCAGGAGUGAUUCCCAGUGGUCUUAGCAGUUGUACGAGUCUAGAAUUAUUGGACUUGGGUGCCAACUUGUUUCGAGGCUCUGUUCCUUCAACUCUAAGUUCACUAAGA
rnacentral:misc_RNA from 1 species